GAUGAACGCUGGCGGCGUGCCUAAUACAUGCAAGUCGAGCGAACAGACGAGGAGCUUGCUCCUCUGACGUUAGCGGCGGACGGGUGAGUAACACGUGGAUAACCUACCUAUAAGACUGGGAUAACUUCGGGAAACCGGAGCUAAUACCGGAUAAUAUAUUGAACCGCAUGGUUCAAUAGUGAAAGACGGUUUUGCUGUCACUUAUAGAUGGAUCCGCGCCGCAUUAGCUAGUUGGUAAGGUAACGGCUUACCAAGGCAACGAUGUGUAGCCGACCUGAGAGGGUGAUCGGCCACACUGGAACUGAGACACGGUCCAGACUCCUACGGGAGGCAGCAGUAGGGAAUCUUCCGCAAUGGGCGAAAGCCUGACGGAGCAACGCCGCGUGAGUGAUGAAGGUCUUCGGAUCGUAAAACUCUGUUAUUAGGGAAGAACAAAUGUGUAAGUAACUAUGCACGUCUUGACGGUACCUAAUCAGAAAGCCACGGCUAACUACGU
rnacentral:rRNA from 1 species